UGGCGGCGUGCCUAAUACAUGCAAGUCGAACGCACUCUCGUUUAGAUUGAAGGAGCUUGCUCCUGAUUGAUAAACAUUUGAGUGAGUGGCGGACGGGUGAGUAACACGUGGGUAACCUGCCCUAAAGUGGGGGAUAACAUUUGGAAACAGAUGCUAAUACCGCAUAAAACCUAACACCGCAUGGUGUAGGGUUGAAAGAUGGUUUCGGCUAUCACUUUAGGAUGGACCCGCGGUGCAUUAGUUAGUUGGUGAGGUAAAGGCUCACCAAGACCGUGAUGCAUAGCCGACCUGAGAGGGUAAUCGGCCACACUGGGACUGAGACACGGCCCAGACUCCUACGGGAGGCAGCAGUAGGGAAUCUUCCACAAUGGACGAAAGUCUGAUGGAGCAACGCCGCGUGAGUGAAGAAGGUUUUCGGAUCGUAAAACUCUGUUGUUGGAGAAGAAUGUAUCUGAUAGUAACUGAUCAGGUAGUGACGGUAUCCAACCAGAAAGCCACGGCUAACUACGUGCCAGCAGCCGCGGUAAUACGUAGGUGGCAAGCGUUGUCCGGAUUUAUUGGGCGUAAAGCGAGCGCAGGCGGUUUCUUAAGUCUGAUGUGAAAGCCUUCGGCUCAACCGAAGAAGUGCAUCGGAAACUGGGAAACUUGAGUGCAGAAGAGGACAGUGGAACUCCAUGUGUAGCGGUGAAAUGCGUAGAUAUAUGGAAGAACACCAGUGGCGAAGGCGGCUGUCUGGUCUGUAACUGACGCUGAGGCUCGAAAGCAUGGGUAGCAAACAGGAUUAGAUACCCUGGUAGUCCAUGCCGUAAACGAUGAGUGCUAGGUGUUGGAGGGUUUCCGCCCUUCAGUGCCGCAGCUAACGCAUUAAGCACUCCGCCUGGGGAGUACGACCGCAAGGUUGAAACUCAAAGGAAUUGACGGGGGCCCGCACAAGCGGUGGAGCAUGUGGUUUAAUUCGAAGCAACGCGAAGAACCUUACCAGGUCUUGACAUCCUUUGACCACUCUAGAGAUAGAGCUUUCCCUUCGGGGACAAAGUGACAGGUGGUGCAUGGUUGUCGUCAGCUCGUGUCGUGAGAUGUUGGGUUAAGUCCCGCAACGAGCGCAACCCUUAUUACUAGUUGCCAGCAUUUAGUUGGGCACUCUAGUGAGACUGCCGGUGACAAACCGGAGGAAGGUGGGGACGACGUCAAAUCAUCAUGCCCCUUAUGACCUGGGCUACACACGUGCUACAAUGGAUGGUACAACGAGUUGCGAGACCGCGAGGUUUAGCUAAUCUCUUAAAACCAUUCUCAGUUCGGAUUGUAGGCUGCAACUCGCCUACAUGAAGCCGGAAUCGCUAGUAAUCGCGGAUCA
rnacentral:rRNA from 2 species